rnacentral:rRNA from 1 species
UACGUGAGGGUGCGAGCGUUAAUCGGAAUUCUGGGCGUAAAGUGUGCGCAGGCGGCCGAGCAAGUCGAGUGUGAAAGCCCCGGGCUUAACUUGGGAAUUGCGCUCGAAACUACUUGGCUGGAGUGUGGCAGAGGAAGGUGGAAUUCCACGUGUAGCGGUGAAAUGCGUAGAGAUGCGGAGGAACACCGAUGGCGAAGGCAGCCUCCUGGGAUAACACUGACGCUCAUGCGACGAAAGCGUGGGGAGCAAACAGG